AUUGAACGCUGGCGGCAGGCCUAACACAUGCAAGUCGAGCGGAUGAAUGGAGCUUGCUCCUGGACUCAGCGGCGGACGGGUGAGUAAUGCCUUUGAAUCUGCCUUGAAGCGGGGGAUAACGUCCGCAUACGGGCUCAAAUACCCCAUACGUCCAGUGGUAGAAUUUGGGGGAUCCUCCGUCCUCACACUAACAUAUGAGCCUAGGUCGGUUCCGCUAGUUCGUGGGGUAAGGGCCUACCAAGGCGACGAUCCGUAACUGGUCUGAAGGGAUGUUCAGUCACACGGUAACUGAGACACGGUCCAGACACCUACGCGACGCAGCAGUGGGGACUAUUGCACAAUGCGCGAAAGCCUGAUACUGCCAAGCCGCGUGUGUGCAGAGGGUCUACGGAUUGUGAAGCACUUUAAGUUGGGGGGUUGUACAGUAAGUUAAUACCUUGCUAUUUUGACAUUACCGACAGAAUAAGCACCGGCUAACUUCGUG
rnacentral:rRNA from 1 species